rnacentral:rRNA from 1 species
UACGGAGGGGGCUAGCGUUGUUCGGAAUUACUGGGCGUAAAGCGCACGUAGGCGGCUUUGUAAGUUAGAGGUGAAAACCCAGAGCUCAACUCUGGAAUUGCCUUUAAGACUGCAUCGCUAGAACGUCGGAGAGGUGAGUGGAAUUCCGAGUGUAGAGGUGAAAUUCGUAGAUAUUCGGAAGAACACCAGUGGCGAAGGCGACUCACUGGACGACUGUUGACGCUGAGGUGCGAAAGCGUGGGGAGCAAACAGG